rnacentral:rRNA from 1 species
GGGGAAUAUUGGGCAAUGGGCGCAAGCCUGACCCAGCCAUGCCGCGUGAGUGACGACGGCCUUAGGGUUGUAAAGCUCUUUUGGCGGGGACGAUAAUGACGGUACCCGCAGAAUAAGCCCCGGCUAACUUCGUGCCAGCAGCCGCGGUAAUACGAAGGGGGCUAGCGUUGUUCGGAAUCACUGGGCGUAAAGCGCACGUAGGCGGACUUUCAAGUCAGGGGUGAAAUCCCGGGGCUCAACCUCGGAACUGCCUUUGAUACUGUUGGUCUCGAGUCCGAUAGAGGUGGGUGGAAUUCCUAGUGUAGAGGUGAAAUUCGUAGAUAUUAGGAAGAACACCGGUGGCGAAGGCGGCCCACUGGAUCGGUACUGACGCUGAGGUGCGAAAGCGUGGGGAGCAAAC